rnacentral:rRNA from 1 species
AGUGAACGCUGGCGGUAGGCCUAACACAUGCCAGUCGAACGGCAGCACAGUAAGAGCUUGCUCUUACGGGUGGCGAGUGGCGGACGGGUGAGGAAUACAUCGGAAUCUACUUUUUCGUGGGGGAUAACGUAGGGAAACUUACGCUAAUACCGCAUACGACCUACGGGUGAAAGCAGGGGAUCUUCGGACCUUGCGCGAUUGAAUGAGCCGAUGUCGGAUUAGCUAGUUGGCGGGGUAAAGGCCCACCAAGGCGACGAUCCGUAGCUGGUCUGAGAGGAUGAUCAGCCACACUGGAACUGAGACACGGUCCACACUCCUACGGGAGGCAGCAGUGGGGAAUAUUGGACAAUGGGCGCAAGCCUGAUCCAGCCAUACCGCGUGGGUGAAGAAGGCCUUCGGGUUGUAAAGCCCUUUUGUUGGGAAAGAAAAGCAGCAGGUUAAUACCCCGCUGUUCUGACGGUACCCAAAGAAUAAGCACCGGCUAACUUCGUG